rnacentral:rRNA from 1 species
UGAGUAACACGUAUCCAACCUGCCGUCUACUCUUGGACAGCCUUCUGAAAGGAAGAUUAAUACAAGAUGGCAUCAUGAGUCCACAUGUUCACAUGAUUAAAGGUAUUCCGGUAGACGAUGGGGAUGCGUUCCAUUAGAUAGUGGCGGGGUAACGGCCCACCUAGUCUUCGAUGGAUAGGGGUUCUGAGAGGAAGGUCCCCCACAUUGGAACUGAGACACGGUCCAA